rnacentral:rRNA from 1 species
UGAGGAAAGUUGCAAAGAACUUGAAGAGAGAGUUCAAGAGUACGUGAAACUGCUCGGAAGGAAACGGGUGGAUCUUCGAAGUCCGAGGGAGCGGGGAUCAGUGACGGGCGGCGAGGAGUGUCCGAGCCUCAUAUUCCGUAAAAAGAAAUGAGUGACGAGCACCGUCCUCCCGCCAGUCGCGCACUUCUCGCUCCCGACGGACGCAGCAGCCGGUCUGGCAGUCGGCAGUGAGGACUGGAGGGGAGAUGGCGUGGGCGUAGACCCAGCGUCUUCGUCCCGAUUCUGUACCCUUCGUGUUCCCGGUGCGACGCCGGACCGAGGGAAUUAGUCCGGACUAGUAUGUCCGGACGUGCCGUGGUCUCGCCAGAUGGAAGAGCGGGGGCGAGGUCCGGUUCUACCGGCCCCCGGCUCACCGGUGGCGUGGGUCGCCGGAAAAGUGGUGAACCGUUAGUCCGCGACCGCACCGAGGAUAGCGUGUGCCGAAGGCCUGCGGCGAGUAGGUCGGUAACCCACCCGACCCGUCUUGAAACACGGACCAAGGAGUACGACUUGUGCGCGAGUCAGUGGGACUCGAUUAAGCCCACGGGCGAAAUGAAAGUGAUUGGUGUUAUCAAAACCGUAAAAAUCAAACGCCUGGUUCGGCCUCCGAGCAGGGCCCACCCGCCCCGGUGGUCGUCUUCGACGGCGCGGGUCGGAGUGAGAGCGCACAGGUUGUGACCCGAAAGACGGUGAACUAUGCCCGGGCAGGUCGAAGCCGGAGGAAAACCUGGUGGAGGUCCGCAGCGG